rnacentral:rRNA from 1 species
AGGACUAACGCUGGCGGCGUGCCUAACACAUGCAAGUCGAACGAGAGUAGCAAUACUCUAGUGGCAGACGGGUGAGUAACACGUGGUCAACCUUCCCUAGCGUGGGGGAUAACUAGCCGAAAGGUUAGCUAAUACCGCAUGACAUCGUCGAGUGGCAUCAUUUGACGAUCAAAGGAGCAAUCCGCGCAAGGACGGGACCGCGUCCCAUUAGCUAGUUGGUGAGGUAACGGCCCACCAAGGCUUCGAUGGGUAGCUGGUCUGAGAGGACGAUCAGCCGGAUUGGGACUGAGAUACGGCCCAGACUCCUACGGGGGGCAGGCAAUUAGGAAUCUUGCACAAUGGGGGAAACCCUGAUGCAGCGACGUCGCGUGAAGGAUGAAAUCUUUCGGGAUGUAAACUUCUUUUAUCAGCCAUGAAAAAAAUGACAGUAGCUGAUGAAUAAGCCCGGCUAACUACGUGCCAGCAGCCGCGGU